AGCGGAGGAAAAGAAACCAACAGGGAUUGCCUCAGUAACGGCGAGUGAAGCGGCAAAAGCUCAAAUUUGAAAUCCCCCGGGAAUUGUAAUUUGAAGAGAUUUGGGUCCGGCCGGCAGGGGUUAAGUCCACUGGAAAGUGGCGCCACAGAGGGUGACAGCCCCGUGAACCCCCUCAACGCCUUCAUCCCAGGUCUCCAAGAGUCGAGUUGUUUGGGAAUGCAGCUCUAAGUGGGUGGUAAAUUCCAUCUAAAGCUAAAUACCGGCGAGAGACCGAUAGCGAACAAGUACAGUGAUGGAAAGAUGAAAAGCACUUUGAAAAGAGAGUGAAAAAGUACGUGAAAUUGUUGAAAGGGAAGGGCUUGCAAGCAGACACUUAACUGGGCCAGCAUCGGGGCGGCGGGAAACAAAACCACCGGGGAAUGUACCUUUCGAGGAUUAUAACCCCGGUCUCAAUUUCCUUGUUGCCCCGAGGCCUGCAAUCUAAGGAUGCUGGCGUAAUGGUUGCAAGUCGCCCGUCUUGAACCACCG
rnacentral:rRNA from 1 species